GGUUAAGUGACUAAGCGUACACGGUGGAUGCCUGGGCAGUCAGAGGCGAUGAAGGACGUACUAACUUGCGAUAAGCGCAGAUAAGGCAGUAAGAGCCGUUUGAGUCUGCGAUUUCCGAAUGGGGAAACCCAACUGCAUAAGCAGUUACUGUUAACUGAAUACAUAGGUUAACAGAGCAAACCGGGGGAACUGAAACAUCUAAGUACCCCGAGGAGAAGAAAUCAACCGAGAUUCCGGUAGUAGCGGCGAGCGAACCUGGAUUAGCCCUUAAGCACUCGGUGAAGUAGGUGAACAAGCUGGAAAGCUUGGCGAUACAGGGUGAUAGCCCCGUAACCGACGCUUCAUCGAGCGUGAAAUCGAGUAGGGCGGGACACGUGAUAUCCUGUCUGAAUAUGGG
rnacentral:rRNA from 1 species